CCCGCCAAUUCCUUUAAGUUUGCAUACGGCUCAGUAACACGUAGUCAACAUGCCCAGGGGACGUGGAUAACCUCGGGAAACUGAGGAUAAACCGCGAUAGGUCAUCACUUCUGGAAUGGGUAAUGACUUAAAUCUAUAUGGCCCCUGGAUUGGACUGCGGCCGAUCAGGCUGUUGGUGAGGUAAUGGCCCACCAAACCUGUAACCGGUACGGGCUCUGAGAGGAGGAGCCCGGAGAUGGGCACUGAGACAAGGGCCCAGGCCCUAUGGGGCGCAGCAGGCGCGAAACCUCUGCAAUAGGCGAAAGCUUGACAGGGUUACUCUGAGUGAUUUCCGUUAAGGAGAUCUUUUGGCACCUCUAAAAAUGGUGCAGAAUAAGGGGUGGGCAAGUCUGGUGUCAGCCGCCGCGGUAAUACCAGCACCCCGAGUGGUCGGGACGUUUAUUGGGCCUAAAGCAUCCGUAGCCGGUUCUACAAGUCUUCCGUUAAAUCCACCUGCUUAACAGAUGGGCUGCGGAAGAUACUAUAGAGCUAGGAGGCGGGAGAGGCAAGCGGUACUCGAUGGGUAGGGGUAAAAUCCGUUGAUCCAUUGAAGACCACCAGUGGCGAAGGCGGCUUGCCAGAACGCGCUCGACGGUGAGGGAUGAAAGCUGGGGGAGCAAACCGGAUUAGAUACCCGGGUAGUCCCAGCUGUAAACGAUGCAGACUCGGUGAUGAGUUGGCUUAUUGCUAACUCAGUGCCGCAGGGAAGCCGUUAAGUUUGCCGCCUGGGGAGUACGGUCGCAAGACUGAAACUUAAAGGAAAUUGGCGGG
rnacentral:rRNA from 1 species